rnacentral:rRNA from 1 species
GACGUAGGAGGCGAGCGUUGUCCGGAUUCAUUGGGCGUAAAGAGCGCGCAGGCGGCUUGGUAAGUCGGAUGUGAAAACCCGAGGCUCAACCUCGGGCGUGCAUCCGAUACUGCUCGGCUAGAGGUAGGUAGGGGAGAUCGGAAUUCCUGGUGUAGCGGUGAAAUGCGCAGAUAUCAGGAGGAACACCGGUGGCGAAGGCGGCUCACUGGCCCGGUACUGACGCUGAGGUGCGAAAGCGUGGGGAGCAAACAGG